GUCAAAGCGUUCAUUAAAGUCGAGUUGGCUUAGGGAUACGUUCGUUGGGUAGGGGAGCGUUCUGUAAGCCUGUGAAGGUGUGUCGUGAGGCAUGCUGGAGGUAUCAGAAGUGCGAAUGCUGACAUAAGUAACGAUAAAGCGGGUGAAAAGCCCGCUCGCCGGAAGACCAAGGGUUCCUGUCCAACGUUAAUCGGGGCAGGGUGAGUCGACCCCUAAGGCGAGGCCGAAAGGCGUAGUCGAUGGGAAACGGGUUAAUAUUCCCGUACUUGGUGUUACUGCGAAGGGGGGACGGAGAAGGCUAUGUUGGCCGGGCGACGGUUGUCCCGGUUUAAGCGUGUAGGUGUGUGUUCCAGGUAAAUCCGGUUCACUUUAACACUGAGGCGUGACGACGAGGCACUACGGUGCUGAAGCAACAAAUGCCCUGCUUCCAGGAAAAGCCUCUAAGCAUCAGGUAACACGAAAUCGUACCCCAAA
rnacentral:rRNA from 1 species